UAUUCUACUAUCGUCAUCCCUUGCAUCCAUUGUCACUUGAGUCUUCUUCCUGUGUCUAGCCAUGGCUGAACGCGCAGAUUAGCUAGCCUUGCUAACAUGCGCCCCCUCUCUCUCUCUUCCUUGAAGCAAUCUUAUCUAAUAUUUUAUUGUGAGUUUGGACAAUUUAUAAGCAUAAAGUUUUCAUGGGAGGAGUUUUUUUACAUGAAC
rnacentral:lncRNA from 1 species